rnacentral:tRNA from 1 species
CAGAACGUAGCGAAGGAAAGGGUAUCGCGCCUGGCUGGGGGCCAGGAGCGACCAACCUUCGGUCGGUGCCCGCGGUUCAAAUCCGGCCGUUCUGA